AGCCUUCUGAACCCGUGCUGAGAUCUCCUCACACACUAGACCAUAAGGGCUGAUGAGACUCCUAAGAUAAGUGAGGCA
rfam:Schistosoma haematobium scaffold317_7, whole genome shotgun sequence.